UAUAAUCUAUUUUGUAGCCAGAAACGACUAUUUGUAUGGUCUUGCUUGCAGCCAAUCACUGCCUGCAUUCUUCGAUUAAAUAAGACCUGUGAUUGGCCCACUACCGCAGCAGCUACAACCCAUACAGUCUGUGGUGUGGUGAAGC